GAACCCCGCGAGGCAGGGUGAGGGGCGCCACCGAGGAAGCGCCCACCGGGCUCCCGGGGCUGCCAGGCCCCAAAUUGAGGAAGUUGACUGCCAGAUCACACUCUGUUGGCCCACGCGGAUAGAUUCCAUUCAUCCUUUCUAAUGUCUACACCAUAUUUUGGAUAACAUGCCAUCAUCUCACAUUGUGUUGAAAGAAGAAACCAGAAUGUUGGGGGUGAUGUAUGCCAUAUGGAUGAAUUUAAACAGUUUCGGCCUUGCAAUAAUUGGUAUACUUCUAAUUGCAUGUGAAAUUAUACUCUUUUUAACGAAAGAUGAAACUAUUCAGUGGCCACAUGAAACUGCGGCCAUUAUCCUAAAUGAAAUGACUCAGAAACAGAAAGUCAAAAACCACACAUUCUCAUUUAUAAGUGGGAGCAAAAAAGUUGUUACACACGGACAUACAGAGUAGAAUAAUACAAAUUGGAAACUCCAAAAGGGGGGAUGAAGGACGCCACCGAGGAAGCAGACCCCACCGGGCUCCCGAGGCUGCCAGGCCCCCCGCUCAGGGCGCUGCCUGCAGAACCACGCCCCCCUGUCCCUGUGCUAAGAGGGUGACGCGAGUGCCCGAAGCCCUGGCCUGGUUACCAUUCGCGACUCCCUCGUCCUGGGUUCUCCCAUUGCCAGGAAUGUUUUACUAGUAACCAUGGUAUAGUUGAGACGAUCCACUCUUGUCCUACGCAUUUCGGCACAAUACAGGCGUCUAGGAGGCUUACCUGGCAUUGCCUGAGAGAAUCUUCCAUCCAUUUAAGUACCCAGUAACAGAGGGAGCAAAGCAAAUCUUAUCCUCAAAGAACUGCAGCUGCUUGUUAGAUCUACCUGGUGGUUCCAUAGAGAAACUGCUCAGAGAACCUGCCUUUACCUCGCCUAAAACAGAACUAUCCCGGAGCUCAGGAAAGGAGUCCAUUCAUCCUCUAUAACUGCUAUACAAUAUCUCUGUUAAAAUGCUGAGAAGAUUUAUCCUAAAAGAAGGCACCAAAGCAAUGGGGGUUUACAGAGUACAUGUACAGAUACAGAGUAAAUCAAAACGACUGAGGCUGUGCAAAUAAUGAUUGGCCUGAUUCACAGUGCACUGGGAACUCUCUGAAUUCAUUGGAUUUUGCUAAGAGAGGAUUCAAGUGGUUCUGGUCCUAUCCCUAUAAUUGCUGUAGUAAUUUACUCAUUUUUGUCAUUAUUUUUUGGCUUCAAGGGAGAGAAGAUUUAGUAUAACACAUUCCCUUUUGCUUUGUGAAAAGGCCUCUGAGACAUCCCUGUACAGUCAUUUCACCCAGAGAAGGGCCUGGUGAUCUCUGCUCUGGAUAAAAGACAUUAUUUUCUCUAAGGCUUUCUUAUAGUGGGAGUCCUCAAGUUCAUCAACUCAGGAUCCAGUAGUGUAAUACAGAAGCCUGUUACGAGAUAUAAGGACUUCCCUCCUGUCUCUCACAGCCCCCCUUGAAUUGUAAUGAACAGCAUAACUAUUUGUGUGACUACACUUGGUAUAAUUCUAUUAAGCAUGGAGAUUGCAACUUUUGCAUUAAAUGCAACCACAUACAAUUGGUCAAACGUGGUUGGUAUGAUGCUUUUACAAUAUUUACUACUCUGCACCAUCUUAGAGAUGACCAUUGUAAUCAUAAUCAUCCAGUGGGUUGUAAGAGCAUUUCAUCAUGAAAAACACACUGAAGAAAGCACUUUGCCCUCGGAAAUCUCACUGUCGGAAUCCUUGGAAAUCACACCACGCACAACUUCUAUUUCUUCAUAAUUUGCAAAGAACCAGUGUGACUCCAGUCAAGAACAAAAGAUUAAUUGUGAAUUAGCGAAGAACUCUAAUUUUUUCAAGCAGCCACAUGGAAAACGCAUUCUAAUGAAAUCCUUUCCAUUGCUCUUUUUUCUUAGUUCUUCAAUAAAGCAUGCGAUUUGAUCACAAAU
rnacentral:lncRNA from 1 species